rnacentral:rRNA from 1 species
GGCUACUGCUAUUGGGAUUCGACUAAGCCAUGCGAGUCAAGGUGUCUUCGGACGCCGGCGUACGGCUCAGUAACACGUAGGUAACCUAACCUCAGGACUGAGAUAACCCCGGGAAACUGGGGCUAAUAUUAGAUAGAUAAAAGAUACUGGAAUGUUCUUUUAUCCAAAGCUUUUGCGCCUGAGGAUGGGCCUGCGUCCGAUUAGGUUGUUGGUGGGGUAAUAGCCCACCAAGCCUGCGAUCGGUACGGGCAGUGAGAGCUGAAGCCCGGAGUUGGGGACUGAGACAAGGCCCCAGGCCCUACGGGGCGCAGCAGGCGCGAAACCUCUGCAAUGCGGGAAACCGUGACAGGGGGAUCCCAAGUGCUCAUGCAUUGCAUGGGCUGUUCUUUGGUCUAAGUAACCAGAGGAGUAAGGGCUGGGCAAGACCGGUGC